rnacentral:rRNA from 1 species
UACGGAGGGUGCAAGCGUUGUCCGGAUUUAUUGGGUUUAAAGGGUGCGUAGGCGGCUUAUUAAGUCAGGGGUGAAAGACUGCAGCUCAACUGUAGCAGUGCCUUUGAUACUGAUGAGCUUGAGUACAGAUGAGGCUGGCGGAAUGGGUGGUGUAGCGGUGAAAUGCAUAGAUACCAUCCAGAACACCGAUUGCGAAGGCCGCCGGCUAAACUGUAACUGACGCUGAGGCACGAAAGCGUGGGGAUCGAACAGGAUUAGAAACCCUUGUAGU